UCCGAAAUCCGAAUACCCCACCCAUUACAUUACCCGACUUGAAUGUUUUGGGUUUUGGAUUGUGGGUUAGCUAGGGUUUCUCCGUUGGCUGGUUCUUGCAAACCAACCGUGAAGUUGAAAUGCCCAAUCCCUGCAUCUAAGAGAACUCAUCUCUCUGAGACUCCUUUCCCCUGCACUGUCUUCUAGUAUAUAUAUUUCUUUCGCAAUCGAAAGACGUACUUAGUUAGUGCUUACAACUACUUCUCCCGAAGAAUCUAUUCUAUCACUUGGAGUCACUAAUGGAUUCUCCACUGCGCCCCUAGUACAUCAAGCAGUUUGGGAAUGUUGGGAGGUCGAAGAGCGGGGAUAUCAGUUCAUGCUGUAUUAUCAGAAUAUGGGUUUGUGGAGAUCGAUCCCGUUUCAAUGUCAUUACACUUUCAUGUCAAAGGGAAUUGGUAUCUCUCUUCUCAUUUUACUACACAAUUUAUAACAUCACUAGCAGUGAUAACACUGUAAUUAUCAAGAUUAAAUUUCAAAACCUGGGAGAGUAUUGCAAGGUUUAUGGGUCUUUGGUUAAUGGAAGGAACCAGAAUGCACUCAGGACGAAGAUAAACUGGUGCCGGUCUUGAACAUGAUGUGGGACUGUGGGCUACCCAAAAAUGAAGCUUUGGAGAAAAAUGAAAGAUGGUCUUGCAUUGCGCCUGCUUAUUGAUGCGGCUACCGACUGAACUGAAACUCAAGAUCUUGGAGUCGGUUUCUUGUGUUUGCUCAGAGUUGAGAUUCUUGGCCUCGAGCGAUGAUCUGGGGAAACAGAUGCACAUCAAGCAGUUUGGGAAUGUUUGCUCAAGCUUGGUGAAGUUGGGGAUUGUUUCAGUUAUUUAUUUUAAAUAUUUGGAUGAUUGUUAAAUUGUAUUUAAAUAUUUGGGUUUAUAUCUAUCAUUUGUUAUGUAUU
rnacentral:lncRNA from 1 species